CAACGAGAAGCGAACCUGCGAAGGCAAGCGGAUCUCUUAAAGCCGUUCUCAGUUCGGACUGUAGGCUGCAACUCGCCUACACGAAGCUGGAAUCGCUAGUAAUCGCGGAUCAGCACGCCGCGGUGAAUACGUUCCCGGGCCUUGUACACACCGCCCGUCACACCAUGGGAGUUUGUAACGCCCAAAGUCGGUGGCCUAACCUUUAUGGAGGGAGCCGCCUAAGGCGGGACAGAUGACUGGGGUGAAGUCGUAACAAGGUAUC
rnacentral:rRNA from 1 species